UUGUGUUAAAAGUUAAAAUGUGGUAUUCGGAAAUAAAGUAAGUCACCAAUAAUUUUUUUAUAAAUUUUUGUAUAAUAUGAGCUUGGUUAACUUAUUACGUUUUGAAGUUUCUUCACACAUGUUUUGAUUGAACAAUUUGACAUAGGAUAAACAUCUGAGUUUUAAGAAUCUAUAAGCAACAGUUUCUAUGAGGACUUUCUGGGUUAACAUGGCAAGUUUAUCACACUGGAGUUUUAAUCCUUGGACCAACAUUGAUUGAAAAACAGAUUCGCAUGAUAAUGCAAUUGUGUACACAGAGUUUGAAGGAAUGCAUACCCAUCUGCUCGUUCUUAAAUUUGAAAUGUUGGCUGUGGCUUCUUCCAAUGGAUCAUCCAUGGAAUCAAAUAAGGCAUUUCUACACAUGACACAUUUGAAGAGACGUUCAAUUUUUAAAACACAAUAUCCAGCAAUGUAGGCAAGGCACUGGUUUGUAAAAGUAUCAUUCAUGUUAGACGCAUUUAAUUCUACUACAUUACUGAAAAGCUCAAUCUCUACCUCCAUCUCAGUGUCAAUAGCAUCAUUUUCUUUUUCACAAUUCAGGUCAUUUAAUAUUGCAAACGGAAGAGGUGAACAGUUAGAUGACAAAGAAGCUGUAACACCACCACUUUUUAUAACUAGAAGUUUUCUCAUGAUAUACUUCAAUUGAAUUGCUGUGGGAUUGUUAUUAACCCACCCCUUAACCGGACUAUGCUAAAGAAAUGCUCCAGUGGAUCCUGUUGGGUGAGUCUCGUGCAUACAUAAUCCAAAGGCUUUUCUUGUGUGAGCAGAUUCCAUGCGAGUGAUAUUGUUGAUUUUAUGGUGGUAGUGAAGCCGAUAAUCACAGCCUUCCGUUUACUGGCACUUACAACUUGCAGGAAGUUGGAAAUUGUCAGUGGUGCUCUGUCAUCUGUUUGUUUUGGAUUCCACGAGUUCAGGAUGUCGAAAAUCUUGUUGAACUUCCGGCAGUAUUCCUCAGUGGCCUCACUUCCCGCAAACUGCAAAAAAACACCAUAUUAAAAAGAUCCUCCCGUAAAUGGCGAAGAGUAUCCGCAGUUGAAUUACUCAAAACUUGAGCAGCCAGAACUACUUUCAUCUUGUGUGUGCCAAUGUCGACGUGGUUUUUAGUCAACUUGUUACCAAGACGAAAUCCUAAACGGUUCUGGUAUUCGAAGAGCUCGGUUAUGUACGACCAUUUUGCCGGUUUCGGAAAGCCAGGAUGAAGGAAAAAAGUUUUCAUCGCAGCGUAUUUUAUACGGUGGAUUUUCAUUUGCUCUGAAGUUUUAUUUGUGCGCCGGCUAGGAACAGAUUUCGGUGGUUUUUGGGGAAUCCUGAUGUUCGCUCCAAGGGCAUUGACCAUCGUUAGAUUUGCCGCCAACCCAUCAAAAGUAACUACUUUUACAUUUACGUUGAAUUCAUGACAAGCAAUAAUGACAUCGUUCAGCACUUUCGACUGGCCCAGCCCGGUUAAAUGGUUCGUAAAAUAAUAAGCUACAGGCGAUCUCCAUUUUCCAUCUAAUCCUACAGCAUAGAACACCAAGACUUGUGUAGCAAGAAUGUGGUGAUCUGUUUCCCGACUUGAAGGUUUGUCAUCUGGGAAAUCGGUAAAUCCCAUAUAUUUCUUAAGUUGCGGGUCGUAGCACAACGCCUUCUUGAUAGACAUUUCAUCGAGACUAAGGGUUACAUCUUGGCCGUGUGUUCCUUCUGCAAUGUCUGUCUUUAUCUGAGCUAAGGCAUUUAUUAAAAUCCCGGAAGAGCAACCAACUGGUGCAAGGUAGCGGCGAAGACUUCGAACGGACGGCAAGGUCCCGGAUGAAUGAAGAGUAUCUACGGUUUUCAGUUCUUUUUCCGGAAUUCCAUUUUUCAUUCAAAAAGAGUUGGUAAGCUGUGUCGGACAUGUCUGUUUUUCUUAUUGUGUUUUUUCUAACUUCUUUUAGAUCGUGGCAUUCUUUUGUGGACUUUUUUAGCUGCUGUUUUAAAAUUGAAAUUUGGCCAACUUUGAUGUUUAUGUCCCUCAAAUUCUGACGCUCUCGAAGAGACAUCACAAUAAUUUUUUGUUUUUGACGGCAAUUUACUCUUUUAAGGUAAUCAUUUUCACACUUGUACUUAAUGCGCAGCCUGCGAUUUUCUUUUUCUAGGUGGCGAGUAUGAUUUGCGUAUUCUUUUUUUAAACAA